CUUGCUUUUCCAAGUAGAGUGGCGAACGGGUGAGUAACGUAUGGACAAUCUACCCUUGACUUGGGGACAACCGUUGGAAACGACGGCUAAUACCCGAUAGCCCCGGUAGGAAGUAUUCCGGCCGGGUAAAGGUGGUAACACUGGUUGAGGAGGGGUCCAUAUCCCAUCAGCUUGUUGGCGGGGUAAAGGCCCACCAAGGCGAUGACGGGUAGCCGAACUGAGAGGUUGAUAGGCCACAUCGGGACUGAGACACUGCCCGG
rnacentral:rRNA from 1 species